AAAAGGGUUUCCAAAAUGUAUAUCUUCUUCUCCGCCGCAACCCUGCUCCAGCUGAAAAAUGUUGGACUCCCUUGUUUUCAAUCACUCCUUCUGUAUGUAUUUACUUUGAAUAAGUUGUUUUUGUCGAUCUCAAAAUGAGUGACUCCUUUUUCGUGCUUCCAUUUCUGUACCACCUCCAUAACUUGAGAAUUUUGGUGCUUUCAAGUGUGUUCUCCGGUGCAUUGGGUGAAGUUCUUGUUGUUGUGCUGUGGUAGGGAACGGUGCUUAAAGUGUAUUCCACAUCUGAGUACUGAUGGGAUGGAGAUAAUAGGAUGCACAGACCCUCUUGUACUCAAAUUUCAAUACCCUUUCCAGGUGUUUCAAUAGCCAAAAUUUCACAUGUCCCUCCCCUUUUUGAUGUUCCCCGUAUCUCACAUGGAGUCCUUUUUGUUGGCUGACCAAUAUUAGUCUAGAAAGAUUCAUACCUGCUUUUGUUUGUCCUUUUAUUGUAAAUAUUUGCAUUUACCUACUGUAAUCUGAACACUGGACAUUGUAGCCUAUUCAGCCUGUAUAAUCUCUUGUUGCUCUGACACGAAUGUAUGGACUCUGCAGCUUAUCACUGUUCAGAAUUCUCUUGCCCUUUACUUCUAACUGUUCAAAUUGUGAAA